AUGGAACAACCUGCAACUAGCAACGCUAUAAGAGGGGCUGAGCAAAUCAGUAACAUAGCCAAACAACGGUCUGCUAGGAAGGGUAAAAAGGUUAGAGGCUAUCAUGGCAAUUUGGGAGGCUUGAUAAACAAGUGGGAGAAGAACGAGUCCAUGAAGAAGACGAUCCCACGUAGUCGAACGAAUCCUCACAAUUGCAACGAAACAGGAACUAUCGAGAAGGAGCACAACCGAAAAGAAGCAAACAACACGAUGGAUUGUGACCAAAGCUUCUUGGACACCAUUGGUUUUGGUUACACACAAACACAACCAGAUAGUCCAAUUGGAGAGCAGGCAACUCCAUCAACUCAGCAUCGUUCUGCAAUAACAGAGAAAGGAAAAUCCAACAAAGGAAAAAUUGGUCUGGUGAUGAGGACAAGGUUCUCAUAG
rnacentral:rRNA from 1 species